UGCACCACCAACUCCGGGCUGUAGGAGUAUUAGUGCUGAGACUUGAACUCAGGAUCUCGUGCAUGGUAGACAAGUGUCCUGUGGCUGAGCUACAUCCCCAGCCAUUCCUGAUUUAUCCAUGGCCUGCAUCCUUCACCUCAUCUCUACCCGAGGGUCUGAUGGAGCUGAGACCAGUCACAUUUAAAUUCAAAGCUGUUAGCAUAUAAAAGAAGAUUAAUGUCUUAUCUAUCUUGGGUUCUCUGGCCCCUUGUCAGUUAGAGUAAACAAAAGCUGGGAGAGCAGGAGAAAACAGGGCAGAUUUGUAACGUACGUGUGUGUGUGUGUGUGUGUGUGUGUGUGUGUGUGUGUGUGUGUGUGUGUGAGAGAGAGAGAGAGAGAGAGAGAGAGAGAGAGAGAGAGAAUGUGAGAGAGUGUGUGAGUGUGUGAAUGUGUGUGACAGGAAGAGAAGUUCAAGGGCAUUUGCAAUAACAAAAUAAGGUGUGAGGCUAGCCUGGGUUACAUGAGACCAGUCAGAAAACCAGCCAGCCAGCUGGGUGACACUGGUGCACUCCUUUACUCCCAGGACGUGGGAGGGAGGCAGAGGCAGUUAGAGGGCAGCCUGGUUUACUGAGACAGUUCCAGGACAGUCAGGGCUAAAGAGAAAGCCUGUCUUAAAAAAACAAAAUAAAACAAACAACAGCAAAAUAAGCAAUCUAUGCUCUUUAAGGGCUGCUGUUUUAACCCUUGUCUUCUUCUGUGCCCACUUUGAGCCAUCAGGGUGUCCUAGAAGUGCACCGUGCCCCCUCAGGUUCACUGUGCUGCCCUUUGAAGGUCUCCAGUGUCAAGCCUCUCACUUUGGAGGGGGCCACAGCCGGUGUGGAAGGAGACAGAAGGCAGGACAGAACAGGGCCUCACCUGAGUGUCUGCACUUUGAAUCCAGAACAGGCCACUGUGUGGCCUUCAUCAAGUGCUGUUA
rnacentral:lncRNA from 1 species